rnacentral:rRNA from 1 species
UACGAAGGGGGCUAGCGUUGCUCGGAAUUACUGGGCGUAAAGGGCGCGUAGGCGGAUGUUUAAGUCGGGGGUGAAAGCCCGGGGCUCAACCCCGGAAUUGCCUUCGAUACUGGACAUCUUGAGUACGGGAGAGGUGAGUGGAACUCCGAGUGUAGAGGUGAAAUUCGUAGAUAUUCGGAAGAACACCAGUGGCGAAGGCGACUCACUGGCCCGUUACUGACGCUGAGGCGCGAAAGUGUGGGGAGCAAAGCAGG